GAUGAACGCUGGCGGCGUGCCUAAUACAUGCAAGUCGUGCGAACGGACGCGAAGCUUGCUUCUCUGAUGUUAGCGGCGGACGGGUGAGUAACACAUGGUUAACCUACCUAUAAGACUGGGCUAACUUCGUGAAACCGUAGCUAAUACCGGAUAAUUUUUUCAUCCGCAUGGUUCAAAAGUUCAAGACGUUCUUGCUGUCCUUUCUACAUAUCUCCGUGCUGCAUUAGCUAGUUGGUAAGGUAACGGCUUACCAAGGCCACGAUGCAUAGCCGACCUGAGAGGGUGAACGGGCACACUGGGACUGAGACGCGGUACAGAGACUGAGGGGAGGCAGAGGUAGGGAAUCUUGCGAGAUGGGCGAAAGCCUGAAGGAGGAACGCAGCGUGAGUGAUGAAGGGCUUCGGAUGGUAAGACUCUGUUAUUAGGGAAGAACAUAUGUGUAAGUAACGGUGCACAUCGUGACGGUACCUAAACAGAAAGCCACGGCCAACUACGUG
rnacentral:rRNA from 1 species